AACGCGAAGAACCUUACCCAGGCUCGAACGGUACGCGACGGCGGCAGAGAUGUCGUUUUCCUUCGGGACGCGUAUCGAGGUGCUGCAUGGUUGUCGUCAGCUCGUGCCGUGAGGUGUCGGCUUAAGUGCCACAACGAGCGCAACCCUUGUUGACAGUUGCCAUCGGGUAGUGCCGGGGACUCUGUCGAGACUGCCACCGUAAGGUGUGAGGAAGGGGGGGAUGACGUCAAAUCAGCACGGCCCUUAUGUCUGGGGCGACACACGUGUUACAAUGGUGAGUACAGAGGGUCGCUACCUGGCGACAGGAUGCUAAUCUCGAAAACUCAUCUCAGUUCGGAUCGGAGUCUGCAACUCGACUCCGUGAAGUUGGAUUCGCUAGUAAUCGCGCAUCAGCCAUGGCGCGGUGAAUACGUUCCCGGGUCUUGUACACACCG
rnacentral:rRNA from 1 species